UAGGGAAUAUUGGACAAUGGGGGCAACCCUGAUCCAGCCAUGCCGCGUGAGUGAAGAAGGCCCUCGGGUUGUAAAGCUCUUUUGUCCGGGAAGAAAAGCUUCGGGUUAAUACCCCGGGGUUCUGACGGUACCGGAAGAAUAAGCACCGGCUAACUUCGUGCCAGCAGCCGCGGUAAUACGAAGGGUGCAAGCGUUACUCGGAAUUACUGGGCGUAAAGCGUGCGUAGGUGGUUGUUUAAGUCUGAUGUGAAAGCCCUGGGCUCAACCUGGGAAUGGCAUUGGNAACUGGGCAGCUAGAGUGCGGUAGAGGGUAGUGGAAUUCCCGGUGUAGCAGUGAAAUGCGUAGAGAUCGGGAGGAACAUCUGUGGCGAAGGCGACUGCCUGGACCAGCACUGACACUGAGGCACGAAAGCGUGGGGAGCAAACA
rnacentral:rRNA from 1 species